UACGUAGGGUCCGAGCGUUGUCCGGAAUUAUUGGGCGUAAAGAGCUCGUAGGCGGUUUGUCGCGUCUGCUGUGAAAUCCCGAGGCUCAACCUCGGGCCUGCAGUGGAUACGGGCAGGCUGGAGGCAGGCAGGGGAGAACGGAAUUCCCGGUGUAGCGGUGAAAUGCGCAGAUAUCGGGAGGAACACCGGUGGCGAAGGCGGUUCUCUGGGCCUGUGCUGACGCUGAGGAGCGAAAGCGUGGGGAGCGAACAGG
rnacentral:rRNA from 1 species